rnacentral:rRNA from 1 species
GAUGAACGCUGGCGGCGUGCCUAAUACAUGCAAGUCGAGCGAACAGACGAGGAGCUUGCUCCUUUGACGUUAGCGGCGGACGGGUGAGUAACACGUGGGUAACCUACCUAUAAGACUGGGAUAACUUCGGGAAACCGGAGCUAAUACCGGAUAAUAUUUCGAACCGCAUGGUUCGAUAGUGAAAGAUGGCUUUGCUAUCACUUAUAGAUGGACCUGCGCCGUAUUAGCUAGUUGGUAAGGUAACGGCUUACCAAGGCAACGAUACGUAGCCGACCUGAGAGGGUGAUCGGCCACACUGGAACUGAGACACGGUCCAGACUCCUACGGGAGGCAGCAGUAGGGAAUCUUCCGCAAUGGGCGAAAGCCUGACGGAGCAACGCCGCGUGAGUGAUGAAGGGCUUCGGAUCGUAAAACUCUGUUAUUAGGGAAGAACAAACGUGUAAGUAACGGUGCACGUCUUGACGGUACCUAAGCAGAAAGCCACGGCUAACUACGU